AGGACGAACGCUGGCGGCGUGCCUAACACAUGCAAGUCGAGCGAGAUCCAUCCAGUGGCAACACUGGUGAAGAUCUAGCGGCGAACGGGUGAGUAACACGUGAGAAACCUGCCCCGGAGACCGGGAUAACUCGAGGAAACUCGAGCUAAUACCGGAUACCCCCACCGAACCGCAUGAUUUGGUGAGGAAAUGCUCCGACGCUCCGGGAGGGUCUCGCGGCCUAUCAGCUAGUUGGUGAGGUAAUGGCUCACCAAGGCUAAGACGGGUAGCUGGUCUGAGAGGACGAUCAGCCACACUGGGACUGAGACACGGCCCAGACUCCUACGGGAGGCAGCAGUGGGGAAUCUUGCGCAAUGGGCGAAAGCCUGACGCAGCAACGCCGCGUGGGGGAUGAAGGCUCUCGGGUUGUAAACCCCUUUCAGGAGGGACGAAAAUGACGGUACCUCCAGAAGAAGCCCCGGCCAACUACGUGCCAGCAGCCGCGGUAACACGUAGGGGGCGAGCGUUGUCCGGAUUUAUUGGGCGUAAA
rnacentral:rRNA from 1 species